ensembl:lncRNA
CCUUUUGGAGUCUUUUUUCUGUGAGCCAGGAACAUAGUAAAGAAGGCCUUGGAGAUACUCAGGUGUGAAAGGAAAGGGAGUCUUGUGCUUAAGAGAAAGAGUCCCAGUUUGGCCCUCAUACUGAGUGGGAUAUACUUCCUGAAUUUGUACACUUAAAAGUAGCAUCUGUGGUCAUGACCUUCCAGCAUUUACUUAAGACAAGAAAACACAUCAUCAGCCAUACUGUUUAUUUUUAGGCCUUCAGCAGGGCUGGUUUUCCAGAGCUUAAAGCAAUUGACAAGGGAAAUAAAUUUUAAAUGAG